UUUAUGGAGAGUUUGAUCCUGGCUCAGAGUGAACGCUGGCGGCGUGCCUAAUACAUGCAAGUCGAACGAUGAAGCCUUUAGCUUGCUAGAGGUGGAUUAGUGGCGCACGGGUGAGUAAGGUAUAGUUAA
rnacentral:rRNA from 1 species